AGUGAACGCUGGCGGUAGGCCUAACACAUGCAAGUCGAACGGCAGCACAGUAAGAGCUUGCUCUUACGGGUGGCGAGUGGCGGACGGGUGAGGAAUACAUCGGAAUCUACUUUUUCGUGGGGGAUAACGUAGGGAAACUUACGCUAAUACCGCAUACGACCUACGGGUGAAAGCAGGGGAUCUUCGGACCUUGCGCGAUUGAAUGAGCCGAUGUCGGAUUAGCUAGUUGGCGGGGUAAAGGCCCACCAAGGCGACGAUCCGUAGCUGGUCUGAGAGGAUGGUCAGCCACACUGGAACUGAGACACGGUCCAGACUCCUACGGGAGGCAGCAGUGGGGAAUAUUGGACAAUGGGCGCAAGCCUGAUCCAGCCAUACCGCGUGGGUGAAGAAGGCCUUCGGGUGGUAAAGCCCUUUUGUUGGGAAAGAAAAGCAGCAGGUUAAUACCCCGCUGUUCUGACGGUACCCAAAGAAUAAGCACCGGCUAACUUCGU
rnacentral:rRNA from 1 species